UUAACUCCUUACUUGAAACAUUUAGACUAUCUAGAUGUUUAGAAGUGCCCGAUGUAUAUUAAAUGUAGAGGUAGUAAAAUACCAAUUUGUAAAUAUCUUUUUGCUAAAAUUCAUAGGAAAUACUUUUGGAAGUUGAAUUGUGAAGCCACCUUUGUGAGCAGUAUAUUACUGUCUAUACUUGCUCAAUGGUUUAGAGGAGGUGGGAGGGAAGAAAUUGCAAAAGAUAAUAUGCUAGUGUGUUCAUACUUGGACAUUUUCAGACACCAUUUUUCUGUAUGUUUUGUGCAUUUUGUUUUGCUCUGUAUAUAGUGUAUAUAAUGGACAAAUAGUCUUAAUUUUUUAACAUCUAGAGGUUGCCAGUGUAUGACAAAGUAGUAAAAUUAGCAUAUUUUGUAUGCUUUGUGUUGAAAUUCAUAGGAAAACUUGUCUUCUGUAAUUGACUUUUGCAUAGGAAUUUGUUCAGCCAUCUCUAAGCAUUACACAUGCGUGUACUUGUCCACUGAAUUGAAGGCAGAGAAGGAAGAGAAGAGGGAAUGAUUCAAGGCCAAAAUGGUCACAUUUAGAAGAUACCUUAGAUGAUAACCAUUGUUAUGUGUGUGCAGUUUUAUUUAACAGUGCCGUGUACAUGGUGGACAGGCUAUGAAAUAUCUAGUCUUUAGAUAUUUGGAAGUGCUUGAUGUAUUUUAAAGUAGUAGUAGUAGAAUAACACUUUUUGUAAAUAGCUUUUAAAAACUGAUGGGAAAUGCUGUUUGGAAGUGGAUUUGUUGAACCACCUGGGAGGUGGGAGGGAAAAAAUUGCAAAAGGUGUUUUGCCAUUGUUUAUUAGAAAAUUUCAGCUUAAUCCAUUGCCUAUAUGUUACAAGCAUUUCAUUUAACUUUGCUAUACUGUAUAUAUUGUGUAUAUACUGGACAAAUGAGUCCUGAUUUUAUAAUAUCUAGUCUGUAGCUAUUAAAGAGGUUGCCAGUGUAUGACAAAAGUAGUUAGUAAACUAACGCAUUUUGUACACUUUGUUAAAAUUCAUAGAGAGGCUGUCUUCUGAAAAGGACUUUUUGGAAGUGAAAUGAUAACAUCAGCUCGAAGUGACACAUGUGCUUAUAUCCACCAGGUUGGUGGUGGAGAGGAGUUGGAAGGAAUGAAGGGUUCUAGACCAGAAUGUUCCUAUUUAGAAGACACUUUCAGAUAUAACCAUUGUUACAUGUGUGUAGUUUAUUCAACAGUGCUAUGUAUAUAGUGGACACACUUAAGUCCUUAUUUGAAAUAUCUAGUCUUUCUAGAUGUUUAGAAGUGCACAAAGCAUGUUAAAAGUAGAGGUAGUAAGUAACACAUUUUGUAGUUAUUUUGAUAUGAAAUAUUGUCUUGGAAAUUGAUCAAUUCUCUGAGAAGUACACGUUAUGAUAUUUGUGCUGGUUCAGGGGGAAGAAGGAGCACAAAGUUCAAAGGGCUUUCUACCAGUGUCCAGUGUGUUUAUGAUGAGGCACAUUGACCAUUGUCCCUUAUGUCUGCAUUUUCGUUUACUGUGCUGUGUAUAUAAGCAGACAUAGGAGUCCUAAUUUAUAUCUAGUCGAUGUUAAAGAGGUUGCCAGUGUAUGGCAAAAGUAGAGUUAGUAAACUAAUACAUUGAGUACACUUUGUGUUAAAAUUCAUAAGGAACACUUCUUAAAAACAGAAGUAAAAUUGUUAAACGCCCCCCGCCCCCAAGCAUUACAGAUGGCUUAUAGCUGUCAACGGGGUUGGUAGAGGUCAGAAAGGGAAGUGUUCUAGGCCAGAAUGUUCCUAUUUAGAAGACACUCAAAUUAUAGUCUAUGUUAUGUAUAUAUGCCAUUUAUUCAAUACUACUGUGUAUAUAAUGGAAAACUUAAGUGCAGUUUGAAACAUCUAGUCUUUCUAGGUGUUUAAAAGUGCACAAUGGUCAGGUGCGGUGGCUCACUCCUGUAAUCCUGGCACUUUGGGAGGCUGAGGUGGGCAGAUCACGAAGUCAAGGGAUCGAGACUAUCUUGGCCAACAUGGUGAAACCCCAUCUCUACAAAAAAUACAAAAAUUAGCUGGUCGUGGUGGCACAUGCCUGUAGUCCCAGCUACUCGGGAGGCUGAGGCAGGAGAAUCGCUUGAGCCCGGGAGACAGAGGUUGCAGUAAGCCGAGACCACACCACUGCACUCCAGCAUGGCGACAGAGCAAGACUCCAUCUCAAAAAAAAAAAAAAAAAAAAAUUCCACAACAUAGGUUAAAAGUAGAGGGCUAAAGUAACACCCCUCUAAGCAUUUGUUUUCAGUACUUCCUAGGAGUGGUUGCAUUUGGGAAUGGAAUUGUUAAAACUUGAUGCUUAGGAGCGUAUGCUGACUAUUCACUGCGUGGUGGGGUGGGGAGGAGGAGGAGGUAUGCAGGGAGAAGGGUUCUGUGCCCCUGAGUUAGAUUAGUUCAGAUGGUCUAACCAUUGUUCUAUGUAUGCAUUUUAUUGUGUUAAUAUUGUGUAUUAAAGGAUAAACAAGUCUUAAUGCUCAAAGUAUGUUAAAAAUAGAUGUAGUGAAUCAGUCCCUUUGUGAAUGUCCUAUUGUUAGUUUUUAGGAAGGCCUGUCUUCUGGGAGUGACCUUUAUUAGUCCACUUCUUGGAGCUAGACGUCCUAUACUUAGUCACUGGGGAUGGUGAAAGAGGGAGAAGAGGAAGGGCGAAGGGAAGGGCUCUUUGCUAGUAUCUCCAUUUCUAGAAGAUGGUUUUAGAUGAUAACCACAGGUCUAUAUGAGCAUUUUUAGUAAAGUGCCUGUGUUUAUUGUGGACAGAGUUUAUUAUUUUGCAACAUCUAACCUUUAUGAAUAUCUGAGGUGACAAUGUGUGAUAAAAACUAGAGCUAGUGGGCCAGGCGCGGUGGCUCAUGCCUGUAAUCCCAACAUUUUGGGAGGCUGAGGCAGGCAGAUCACAAGGUCAAGAGAUCGAGACCAUCCUGGUCAACAUGGUGAAACCCCAUCUCUACUAAAAAUACAAAAAUUAGCUGGGCGUGGUGGCGCGUGCCUGUAGUCCCAGCUUCUCAGGAGGCUGAGGCAGGAGAAUCACUUGAACCUGGGAGGCGGAGGUUGCAGUGAGCCAAUAUUGCGCCACUGCACUCCAGCCUGGGCAACACAGCAAGACUCCAUCUC
rnacentral:lncRNA from 1 species